rnacentral:misc_RNA from 1 species
AAGGCCACAACUUCCAGCCGGCAGUAAGCAUGGGCCAAAACGUGGAUUUGAGCUCACUGGAAAUAGUGGCCGGUGAUUCCAAACGAAGGAACCCCAAGACCACGAAGUAGAUACUGUUCCAUAUCGCAGACCAGGCCGUCUGAUCGAACACAACCUUUGCGGGAACAACCCACCAAUCCUUGAAUGGAAACAGUGCCUCGCAGAAAUGGUAGUAGUAAUGUG